rnacentral:tRNA from 1 species
CGGAGUGUAGCUCAGCCUGGUAGAGCACCGUCUUCGGGAGGCGGGAGUCGGAGAUUCAAUUCCUCUCACUCCGACCA